GUGGACGUGGACCCCAAUUCGGCGACCUACUCCCAGGUGAUCCACGCCCCCCCGGCCUCCCACAUUGGCGACGAGCUGCAUCACGCUGGCUGGAACACGUGCAGCUCCUGCCAUGGCGAUCCAUCCACGAGCCGGCGCUUCUUGAUUAUACCUUCAUUGCUGUGA
rnacentral:rRNA from 1 species